AGAGUUUGAUCCUGGCUCAGGAUGAACGCUAGCGGCAGGCUUAACACAUGCAAGUCGAGGGGUAGCAGGGGAGCAAUCUCGCUGACGACCGGCGCACGGGUGAGUAACGCGUAUGUAACCUACCUAUAACAGGGGCAUAGCCCGGAGAAAUUCGGAUUAAUUCCCCAUAACAUUCCAGAAAGGCAUCUUUUUGGUCUUAAAACUCCGGUGGUUAUAGAUGGGCAUGCGUGCCAUUAGCUAGUUGGUGAGGUAACGGCUCACCAAGGCUACGAUGGCUAGGGGGUCUAAAAGGAUGAUCCCCCACACUGGUACUGAGACACGGACCAGACUCCUACGGGAGGCAGCAGUGAGGAAUAUUGGGCAAUGGACGCAAGUCUGACCCAGCCAUGCCGCGUGCAGGAUGACGGCCUUAUGGGUUGUAAACUGCUUUUUUACGGGAAGAAAAAGCCUUACGAGUAAGGAACUGACUGUACUGUAAGAAUAAGCAUCGGCUAACUCCGUGCCAGCAGCCGCGGUAAUACGGAGGAUGCAGGCGUUAUCCGGAUUUAUUAGGUUUAAAGGGUGCGUAGGCGGAAAUAUAAGUCAGUGGUGAAAACCUACAGCUUAACUGUAGAACUGCCAUUGAUACUGUAAUUCUUGAGUCUAGUUGAGGUAGGCGGAAUGUGUAAUGUAGCGGUGAAAUGCAUAGAUAUUACACAGAACACCCAUUGCGAAGGCAGCUUACUAAACUAUAACUGACGCUGAGGCACGAAAGCGUGGGAGCAAACAGGAUUAGAUACCCUGGUAGUCCACGCCGUAAACGAUGAUCACUCGCUGUUGGCAGUACACAGUCAGCGGCUGAGCGAAAGCAUUAAGUGAUCCACCUGGGGAGUACGACGGCAACGUUGAAACUCAAGGGAAUUGACGGGGGCCCGCACAAGCGGAGGAACAUGUGGUUUAAUUCGAUGAUACGCGAGGAACCUUACCUGGGCUUGAAUGUAGUUCACCGCAAGGUGAUACCUGUUGAAAGAUAGGUUAAAAUUACAAGGUGCUGCAUGGCUGUCGUCAGCUCGUGCCGUGAGGUGUCGGGUUAAGUCCCAUAACGAGCGCAACCCUUAUUCUUAGUUGCCAGCGGGUAAUGCCGGGGACUCUAAGAAGACUGCCACCGUAAGGUGUGAGGAAGGUGGGGAUGACGUCAAGUCAGCACGGCCCUUACGUCCAGGGCUACACACGUGUUACAAUGGCCAGUACAAUGGGCUGCUACCUGGUAACAGGAUGCUAAUCUCAAAAGCUGGUCUCAGUUCGGAUUGAAGUCUGCAACUCGACUUCAUGAAGUUGGAUUCGCUAGUAAUCGUACAUCAGCAAUGGUACGGUGAAUACGUUCCCGGGCCUUGUACACACCGCCCGUCAAGCCAUGGGAGCUGGGAGUACCUGAAGUCCGUGACCCUCAAGGAGCGGCCUAGGGUAAAACUAGUGACUGGGGCUAAGUCGUAACAAGGUA
rnacentral:rRNA from 1 species